rnacentral:rRNA from 1 species
UACGUAGGGUGCGAGCGUUAAUCGGAUUUACUGGGCGUAAAGAGCGCGCAGGCGGCUGGGCAAGUCCGAUGUGAAAGCUUCCGGCUUAACUGGAAAAUUGCAUCGGAAACUGCUCGGCUUGAAGGUGGGAGAGGGUAGCGGAAUUCCACGUGUAGCAGUGAAAUGCGUAGAGAUGUGGAGGAACACCGAUGGCGAAGGCAGCCCCCUGGGCUAACACUGACGCUCAUGCACGAAAGCGUGGGGAGCAAACAGG